AGGGAAAAUAAACACUCUCAUCCCUGAACAGACACCCACCAUCAAUUCUACAUGACUAUGGAGGAUAGCAGUGGUCACUGGUCAGACUAUCGUCCUCAUCUCUUCUCUGCCCAGUGAAAGCCAUGAAAUACCUAUUUCAACAAUGCCAGGAACCGGAAAGACACUCUCCAUCAAAGACUGAAGACCAUUAUUAGGCCGACAUGAGGAGAACAGCUAAGUAGACGCCACUGCUUUCAAACGAAGAUGCCACUUCAAAAGGAAAGAGUUCACUUCCACUAUCAGCUCCAGACAGAUUACCCAUGGGCAUUUCAAAUUUGGCUUUCAUGUUUCAAGAAAAUAACCUACAGCAUCGGCUGAGCUGUUUCCCUUGUUGACAUCUUAUACUGUAUUUAUUCUUAUUUCACAUGCAGUGCAGAAGCUUGAAAUCAACAUGUAAAGAGUAAUUUGUAAGCUUUACUUGACUGGUAUUGGGAUGUGCGGAGUCUCCGUGCUCAUCAGGACCUCUUGUGUUAGUACUUCCCAAGGGCCUUCAAUACUUUAUUGAAAGUGAAUUUUCCCAUCUACAUAUUCAAAAGCAUAUCCAUGGUGUUACAUAGAUGGUUCGGCCAUUAAGAACAUUGACUGCUCUUCCAGAGGUCCUAAGUUCAAUUUCUAGCAACCAUGUGGUGGCUCACGACCAUCUGUAAUGAGACCCAAUGUUACCUUCUGGUGUUGGAAGAUAGCUACAGAUUCUAAAGCUAAUAUGAGUGAUUUGAAAUCAUUCAUACUGUUUACUCAAUCAGUGGCAAAUAAAGUUACUAUUCACAAAA
rnacentral:sRNA from 1 species